rnacentral:lncRNA from 1 species
AUAGAAUGACUCAUGGACAAGCAGGGGUCUGUAAGGCUUCUCCAGGUGGCCACUGAUCUCUCAUAGGAUAAUGAGAAUUGCUCAUCAUUCUUCUGCACUCCCUCUCCUGGUAAUCUCUUUCAGUCUCAAAUCAUCUAUACAUUCAUGACUCUCGAAUCUAUCUUUGCAGUCCUUAUCACCCCACGAAGGUCCAGAUUCCUGUAGCCAACUGCCUCUAUGACACCUCUGCUAAGAUGCCUAGCAGAUGUCUCAAACUUGAAUAUCCAAAGUGAAACUCUUGAUAUCCCUCCAAGGCUUAUUUCUCCCCCAUUUUUUAUUUGCCCAACAAAUAAUUCCAUCAGCUACUACCCAGUUGCUCAGAUCUAAAACUUAAG